rnacentral:rRNA from 1 species
GGGAAUUCGAUUAUGGCUGUCGUCAGCUCGUGCCGUGAGGUGUUGGGUUAAGUCCCAUAACGAGCGCAACCCUUAUUGCUAGUUGCUAAUAUUAAGUUAAGGACUCUAGCGAGACUGCCAGCGACAAGCUGGAGGAAGGUGGGGAUGACGUCAAAUCAUCAUGCCCUUUAUGACCUGGGCUACAAACGUACUACAAUGGCUAAGAACAAAGAGCAGCGAAGUCGCGAGAUGGAGCGAAACUCAGAAAAUUAGUCUCAGUUCGGAUUGGAGUCUGCAACUCGACUCCAUGAAGUUGGAAUCGCUAGUAAUCGCGAGUCAGCAGAUCGCGGUGAAUACGUUCCCGGGUUUU